rnacentral:rRNA from 1 species
AUUGAACGCUGGCGGCAGGCCUAACACAUGCAAGUCGAACGGUAACAGGAAGCAGCUUGCUGCUUCGCUGACGAGUGGCGGACGGGUGAGUAAUGUCUGGGAAACUGCCUGAUGGAGGGGGAUAACUACUGGAAACGGUAGCUAAUACCGCAUAACGUCGCAAGACCAAAGAGGGGGACCUUAGGGCCUCUUGCCAUCGGAUGUGCCCAGAUGGGAUUAGCUAGUAGGUGGGGUAACGGCUCACCUAGGCGACGAUCCCUAGCUGGUCUGAGAGGAUGACCAGCCACACUGGAACUGAGACACGGUCCAGACUCCUACGGGAGGCAGCAGUGGGGAAUAUUGCACAAUGGGCGCAAGCCUGAUGCAGCCAUGCCGCGUGUAUGAAGAAGGCCUUCGGGUUGUAAAGUACUUUCAGCGGGGAGGAAGGGAGUAAAGUUAAUACCUUUGCUCAUUGACGUUACCCGGAGAAGAAGCACCUGCUAACUCCGUG